GUAAGCAGGGCUCGAGCUCGCCCCUUGGGCGCGGCGGCAGCGCUGCCUCCCUCCCAUGGGGUCCUGGCUCUUCCGCGUCGUCCCCGGGGUAACGGCCCCGGCCCGCCCUGUUGUGGGGACUGCGAGCCUCAGGAGCCGCCGGGAAGCCUGAGGAAGCUGAGGCAGGGGGCUGGGCGGGUGAGGGUCCGGGGAGUCCGGGGCGAUGGCCCUGGCCCUGCCGGCCCGGCUGAUACCUCUCGGCCUAAUGCACCUGACACCCCGGGGGACGUCUCUGCACCUUGCUGGGCCCGGGGGCACCCCUGGGAGGGAGACACCCCAGUACCCUGCAAAGGGCGUAGGGUGUUGCCCGGCCUCGGGUCCACAACCUACCCCUGCUAACACCCCUACUGUGUACACCUAAUGCUGAGUCUGCGACAUCGCCCGUGACAUUCUGCCAGACGAUGGCCCCUGUGCUUAGGCCCGAUUUAAGGGUUAGCCACAAUGAUAAUAUUGCCAGUAACAGGGCAUGUUUUUCUCUGUGUCAAGCGCUUUAAGUUCUCUCUGAAUUGCCGCAACUCUGGGAGCCAGGUGCUGGAGGCAGACUCGAGGGCCGAAUUGUUUCUAGUUAGGCCACGCUCCUCUGUUCAGUCGCAAAGGUGAACACUCAUGCGGCCCAGCCAUGGGCCCUCUGAGCAACUGUGCAGCACCCUUUCACCCCCAAUUAAACCCAGAACCAC
rnacentral:lncRNA from 1 species